AGUUUGAUCCUGGCUCAGAACGAACGCUGGCGGCAGGCUUAACACAUGCAAGUCGAACGCUCCGCAAGGAGAGUGGCAGACGGGUGAGUAACGCGUGGGAAUCUACCCAACCCUGCGGAAUAGCUCUGGGAAACUGGAAUUAAUACCGCAUACGCCCUACGGGGGAAAGAUUUAUCGGGGAUGGAUGAGCCCGCGUUGGAUUAGCUAGUUGGUGGGGUAAAGGCCUACCAAGGCGACGAUCCAUAGCUGGUCUGAGAGGAUGAUCAGCCACAUUGGGACUGAGACACGGCCCAAACUCCUACGGGAGGCAGCAGUGGGGAAUAUUGGACAAUGGGCGCAAGCCUGAUCCAGCCAUGCCGCGUGAGUGAUGAAGGCCUUAGGGUUGUAAAGCUCUUUCACCGGAGAAGAUAAUGACGGUAUCCGGAGAAGAAGCCCCGGCUAACUUCGUGCCAGCAGCCGCGGUAA
rnacentral:rRNA from 1 species